UACGUAGGGGGCAAGCGUUGUCCGGAUUUAUUGGGCGUAAAGAGCGUGUAGGCGGCCAUUCAGGUCAGCUGUGAAAAUUCGAGGCUCAACCUCGAGACGUCGGUUGAAACCGUUUGGCUAGAGUCCGGAAGAGGAGAGUGGAAUUCCCGGUGUAGCGGUGAAAUGCGCAGAUAUCGGGAAGAACACCCGUGGCGAAGGCGGCUCUCUGGGACGGUACUGACGCUGAGACGCGAAAGCGUGGGGAGCGAACAGG
rnacentral:rRNA from 1 species